rnacentral:rRNA from 1 species
GGCGUUAAGUUGCAGGGUAUAGACCCGAAACCCGGUGAUCUAGCCAUGGGCAGGUUGAAGGUUGGGUAACACUAACUGGAGGACCGAACCGACUAAUGUUGAAAAAUUAGCGGAUGACCUGUGGCUGGGGGUGAAAGGCCAAUCAAACCGGGAGAUAGCUGGUUCUCCCCGAAAGCUAUUUAGGUAGCGCCUCGUGAAUUCAUCUCCGGGGGUAGAGCACUGUUUCGGCUAGGGGGCCAUCCCGGCUUACCAACCCGAUGCAAACUGCGAAUACCGGAGAAUGUUAUCACGGGAGACACACGGCGGGUGCUAACGUCCGUCGUGAAGAGGGAAACAACCCAGACCGCCAGCUAAGGUCCCAAAGUCAUGGUUAAGUGGGAAACGAUGUGGGAAGGCCCAGACAGCCAGGAUGUUGGCUUAGAAGCAGCCAUCAUUUAAAGAAAGCGUAAUAGCUCACUGGUCGAGUCGGCCUGCGCGGAAGAUGUAACGGGGCUAAACCAUGCACCGAAGCUGCGGCAGCGACGCUUAUGCGUUGUUGGGUAGGGGAGCGUUCUGUAAGCCUGUGAAGGUGGCCUGUGAGGGUUGCUGGAGGUAUCAGAAGUGCGAAUGCUGACAUAAGUAACGAUAAAGCGGGUGAAAAGCCCGCUCGCCGGAAGACCAAGGGUUCCUGUCCAACGUUAAUCGGGGCAGGGUGAGUCGACCCCUAAGGCGAGGCCGAAAGGCGUAGUCGAUGGGAAACGGGUUAAUAUUCCCGUACUUGGUGUUACUGCGAAGGGGGGACGGAGAAGGCUAUGUUGGCCGGGCGACGGUUGUCCCGGUUUAAGCGUGUAGGUGUGUGUUCCAGGUAAAUCCGGUUCACUUUAACACUGAGGCGUGACGACGAGGCACUACGGUGCUGAAGCAACAAAUGCCCUGCUUCCAGGAAAAGCCUCUAAGCAUCAGGUAACAUCAAAUCGUACCCCAAACCGACACAGGUGGUCAGGUAGAGAAUACCAAGGCGCUUGAGAGAACUCGGGUGAAGGAACUAGGCAAAAUGGUGCCGUAACUUCGGGAGAAGGCACGCUGACACGUAGGUGAAGUGAUUUACUCACGGAGCUGAAGUCAGUCGAAGAUACCAGCUGGCUGCAACUGUUUAUUAAAAACACAGCACUGUGCAAACACGAAAGUGGACGUAUACGGUGUGACGCCUGCCCGGUGCCGGAAGGUUAAUUGAUGGGGUCAGCGCAAGCGAAGCUCCUGAUCGAAGCCCCGGUAAACGGCGGCCGUAACUAUAACGGUCCUAAGGUAGCGAAAUUCCUUGUCGGGUAAGUUCCGACCUGCACGAAUGGCGUAAUGAUGGCCAGGCUGUCUCCACCCGAGACUCAGUGAAAUUGAACUCGCUGUGAAGAUGCAGUGUACCCGCGGCAAGACGGAAAGACCCCGUGAACCUUUACUAUAGCUUGACACUGAACA